CAGGGCCCUGGAGGCCGCAGUCACAGGAGGGAAGCAGCGUGUGGGAACCUGGAUGUAGCAGGAGCCUAAUGGAGUGUUACAGCUGCAGCAUCCUGUGUAGCAUCCCCUCUGCUUGUCACUUGAGCUAUAACGACAGACCUUCUCCACCUACCCUUGAGCUGCUGCACUAUAUGAAAGUGAAGGAGCCUUCCUGCAGGAAGCAGAAGAAGGAUUAGCAGGGACAAAUUCAAUUAGAUGAGGAUGGUGAGUGGGUUUGGAUGAUUUACAUUACGGAAGACAACAAAAAAGUGAAGGACAAAUAUGGAAUCCUAAUGAGGGGAAGUAAAGAACAGUGCUGGAAGCCGUUUCAUCUUGAAUCUCCUCCCACCCAUUACCCUGUCUAACAGCAGACAAGUUAGAAAGCUUUACUUUUGUGAGUGUACACACUGUGAAUUCCUUAUGGCAGCAGUCCUGUUUUCUGCAAAAUAUUCUGGGUAGCCAUGAGUCUGUGCUACUGAAAUAGCAACAGAGCCAGCAGAAGCAACUAGAAAACCCACUUAUCUUGGGUAAGAAUCCAUCAAGGGAAUCUAAUGAAAAUGAGAAGAAAAUGGCAUGCUAACUGAGAUGAGAAAUGUAUCUCUGUUAGUGGGGGACCUGCCAAGGCAUUUCAAACAGUGGAAGGGAAGGGAUGAAGAACACUUAGAGAGAUGCAGUCUUGCUUUUGAAUGGAUAGGAGCAACGACAAAACAGUCUGGUACUCCAAACUGCAGCGACACUAUACAGCUGCAAAGUAUUUAACAUCGGUUUUUGGAUAUCAGAUGGUGAAGAGGCUCAUACACCAAAGAGCUGUUGAACCGCUGUGUGGGAGAGGUAUUAACUCCAGCAGGAAAAGGAUGCCAAAAACACCCAUCCGUACCCUCUCAAUUUGGAGAGGUACAUGGGUUGAAUCAGCAAUCCAUCUGGGGCUUGCAGCAUCGAACAGAACAGAUCAGAAAACAUUCCCCUUACUUGUGUUGGACAGUGCUACACUUUCAUAAGGAAUUUCUGCUGUGAACAUGAGGAAGAGCAAGGAGCUUAAAUCCUUUGGGCCUGUGAAAGUACCCUGGCUGUCAGUUUUCAUGGAGUUUCUCUGAUUUGUAAAAAUAAAUAAAUCUGAAUAGCUAAAGAGAAGACAAGUGAAAGUCUGGCAUUCCCCUUGUUACUGGCUGGGAGCUGCACCCUGUAACACCUCUGGCAACUCUGAAAACUUUCCUGAAUCCUCCAGUGAGAGGACAAUUUUCCAGUAUCCAGAAGAGGUGGGUUUGUGCUAUCAGAGUGCCACAGGACAGAAGAUUCCAAAUGAUAUUUUGCCUAUUAGUUAAAAAAAAAAUAAAUAAAAAAUUGAAGUACACCACAUCUUGUAAGGAUCUCUGCUGACCUUGCUGGAGUUCUGGAUGGAAACAGCAUCUAAUUGCAAGACUAAGAUCACAUGAACUGACUUAGCAUCUCAUGAAACAACUAUAAUUUCACUUUUAAGCUCUUCCAGAGGAGCCAGAUUCAAGCUCGGAAAGGCUAGCUGUACAGAUUGUUUUCCUAUGCCUUGAAUUAACUUUUUAAAGAGAUCAGGUUUAAAGCAUACCUCAGUUCUUCAAGAUAUAACCUCAAUGAUACAGUAAAGAAAAUAAAUGUCAUUUAAGA